GAGGAGGCACGCAGGUGAAGUCUUUGAUCUGCGGCCUCGCCUGCACGCUGUUUGAGGCUCUCGGCUGUUUCUGGGGCUGUGCAUGAUGGCACUCGGGGCAUGAUCUUACUAUUGUGUACGUGCCCGCUGGUAUUAAUGUUGGCGUAGCUGCCAAGGCUGGAGGAUCCAAAGCGGGUUUCCAAGGAAGCGAUUCCCAACCCGCCUUGUUUUACUUCCUGAUGUUUAAUGAAACCUUUUUGCAGCUCAUAGAAGAUGAAAUCGACAAAGAACAAGAUGGACCUGUUGGGCAGAGGAAACAUUUUGGAAAUUUAACAGGGAAAAACAUUGCAUCAUCUGAGAAAUGUAUAAUUAUUUUUCACUUUGCUUCCUGAAUUCCUACAUCCAACUGUGGAAAGAUGAUGAGGCAUCAAAAUACAGAAACAGAACCUUAUUAACUCUAUGCACUUAAUUCUUUCCACACAUGAAAGAAGCAAAACUGCUAUGAUCUGUUAGGGAUGUGUGUAUGAAUAAUUAGUGUUCUAUAUGUUAUUAAUGAUGGUCCCUCAAACAUUCUUGUAAAGGAAGGUGUUUAAUAAUUGUUUGAAAGUUCUAAAAUAAAAUGCACUAUAAUUA